rnacentral:rRNA from 1 species
ACAAGGGCCGAGGCCCUACGGGGCGCAGCAGGCGCGAAUACUCCGCAAUGCGGGCAACCGCGACGGGGCUACCCCGAGUGCCGGGCGAAGAGCCCGGCUUUUGCCCGGUCUAAAACGCCGGGCGAAUAAGCGGGGGGCAAGUCUGGUGUCAGCCGCCGCGGUAAUA